UUUUCUAACCCUGGGGGUCAGUGCUGUUGUUAUUCCAGCUGUUGAGAUUGGAGACCUCGGAGCUCACCCCUGAGUGACUGACAUCGGAACCUGCACAGAUCCUUACCUCGAAACUCCAAGGCCGAAGCCGGCUGAGCAUCAUAGACCUGUCUCCAGUGACAAACCAGCUGCUGGCCCCAGGAGAACCACAGAGACUCUUCAGCUCCCACCUCUGGGCACAGGGGACAGCAGACAUGCAAGAAAGUGUCCCAGCCGUAAGCCACAGGACCUGUGAUCCCCAGAGGCUGUCAAGAC
rnacentral:lncRNA from 1 species